rnacentral:rRNA from 1 species
GACGGAAGGUGCAAGCGUUGUUCGGAAUUACUGGGCGUAAAGGCGCGUAGGCGGCCGAUCAAGUCAGAUGUGAAAGUCCUGGGCUUAACCUGGGGACUGCAUUUGAUACUGAUUGGCUUGAAUUCGGGAGAGGAUAGCGGAAUUCCCAGUGUAGAGGUGAAAUUCGUAGAUAUUAGGAAGAACACCGGUGGCGAAGGCGGCCCACUGGUCCGGUACUGACGCUGAGGUGCGAAAGCGUGGGGAGGCAAACAGGAAUU